rnacentral:rRNA from 1 species
ACGAACGCUGGCGGCGUGCUUUAUACAUGCAAGUCGAACGAUGAAGUUCCUUCGGGAAUGGAUUAGUGGCGAACGGGUGAGGAACACGUGAGAAACCUGCCUUUCAUUCUGGGAUAACACCGGGAAACCGGUGCUAAUACCGGAUACUCCGUCUUGGCGGCAUCGCCGAGCCGGGAAAAAAUUUUGAUGAAAGAUGGUCUCGCGGCCUAUCAGCUAGUUGGUGAGGUAAAGGCUCACCAAGGCGACGACGGGUAGCCGGCCUGAGAGGGCGACCGGCCACACUGGGACUGAGACACGGCCCAGACUCCUACGGGAGGCAGCAGUAGGGAAUAUUGGGCAAUGGGCGCAAGCCUGACCCAGCGACGCCGCGUGAGGGAUGAAGGUCUUCGGAUUGUAAACCUCUUUCAGUAGGGAAGAAGCGAAAGUGACGGUACCUAAAGAAGAAGCACCGGCUAACUAUGUGCCAGCAGCCGCGGUAAUACAUAGGGUGCAAGCGUUGUCCGGAAUUAUUGGGCGUAAAGAGCUCGUAGGUUGUUUGUCGCGUCGAUUGUGAAAAUCUGAGGCUCAACCUCAGACCUGCAGUCGAUACGGGCAGACUAGAGUGUGGUAGGGGAGACUGGAAUUCCCCCUCUAGCGGUGGAAUGCGCAGAUAUCAGGAGGAACACCAAUGGCGAAGGCAGGUCUCUGGGCCAUAACUGACACUGAGGAGCGAAAGUGCGGGGAGCGAACAGGAUUAGAUACCCUGGUAGUCCGCACCGUAAACGGUGGGCACUAGUUGUGGGAACCUUCCACGGUUUCCGCGACGCAGCACACCCAUUCAGUGCCCCGCCUGGGGAGUACG